rnacentral:rRNA from 1 species
AUUGAACGCUGGCGGCGCGCUUAACACAUGCAAGUCGAGCGAAGCGGCGGACGGGUGAGUAACACGUGAGUAACCUGCCUUAGACAUUGGGAUAGCCUCGGUAAACCGUGAUUAAUACCAAAUGGUCUAAGAUGGACUCGCGUCGCAUUAGCUAGUUGGUGAGGUAACGGGCCACCAAGGCGACGAUGGGUAGACGGCCCAGGAGGGUGAACGGCAACAUUGGAACUGAGGAACGGUCCCAAAUCUACGGGAGGCAGCAGAGGCGAAUAUUGAACAAGGGAGGGAACUCUGAUGAAGCGACGCCGAGUGAACAAAGAAGGCUUGCGAGUCGUAAAGUUCUUUUAAAUGGGAAGCGGUGACAUAAGGAAAAGCCCCGGCUAACUACGUGCCAGCAGCCGCGGAAAUUC